rnacentral:lncRNA from 1 species
AGAAAACACAAAAAAAAGAAAAAAAAACAUGUAAAGAAACACCGUAGCAAUCCACAAUAUUUUAAAGAAAAAAAAUUACAAAGCUAAAUUCCCAACCGGCUCAAUAUUAAAAAAAUAAAAUCAACAAAUAAAAUUUUAGAAAAAUUCAUAAAAAAAAAAAGCAUGUGGGGAAACAUUGUAGCAAUCCACAAUGUUUUGUGAGAAAAACCACAAUUGUAAUUAUCAACCAG